rnacentral:rRNA from 1 species
GGAGGCAGCAGUGAGGAAUAUUGGUCAAUGGACGAGAGUCUGAACCAGCCAAGUCGCGUGAGGGAAGACUGCCCUAUGGGUUGUAAACCUCUUUUAUAAGGGAAGAAUAAGUUCUACGUGUAGAAUGAUGCCUGUACCUUAUGAAUAAGCAUCGGCUAACUCCGUGCCAGCAGCCGCGGUAAUACGGAGGAUGCGAGCGUUAUCCGGAUUUAUUGGGUUUAAAGGGUGCGUAGGCGGUUUAUUAAGUUAGUGGUUAAAUAUUUGAGCUAAACUCAAUUGUGCCAUUAAUACUGGUAAACUGGAGUACAGACGAGGUAGGCGGAAUAAGUUAAGUAGCGGUGAAAUGCAUAGAUAUAACUUAGAACUCCGAUAGCGAAGGCAGCUUACCAGACUGUAACUGACGCUGAUGCACGAGAGCGUGGGUAGCGAACAGGAUUAGAUACCCUGGUAGUCCACGCCGUAAACGAUGCUCACUGGUUCUGUGCGAUAUAUUGUACGGGAUUAAGCGAAAGUAUUAAGUGAGCCACCUGGGGAGUACGUCGGCAACGAUGAAACUCAAAGGAAUUGACGGGGGCCCGCACAAGCGGAGGAACAUGUGGUUUAAUUCGAUGAUACGCGAGGAACCUUACCUGGGUUUAAAUGGGAAAUGUCGUAUUUGGAAACAGAUAUUCUCUUCGGAGCGUUUUUCAAGGUGCUGCAUGGUUGUCGUCAGCUCGUGCCGUGAGGUGUCGGGUUAAGUCCCAUAACGAGCGCAACCCUUACCGUUAGUUGCUAGCAUGUAAUGAUGAGCACUCUAACGGGACUGCCACCGUAAGGUGAGAGGAAGGCGGGGAUGACGUCAAAUCAGCACGGCCCUUACACCCAGGGCUACACACGUGUUACAAUGGCCGGUACAGAGGGCCGCUACCAGGUGACUGGAUGCCAAUCUCAAAAGCCGGUCGUAGUUCGGAUUGGAGUCUGUAACCCGACUCCAUGAAGUUGGAUUCGCUAGUAAUCGCGCAUCAGCCAUGGCGCGGUGAAUACGUUCCCGGGC